GUUGAUCUGCCGGACCCCACUGCUAUCGAGAUGGGACUAAGCCAUGCUAGUCGCGCGCGUCCAACCACGAGGACGAGCGGCAUACCGCUCAGUAACACGUAGCUAACCUACCCUCGGGUCGAGGAUACCCCCGGGAAACUGGGGCUAAUCCACGAUAGGUGUGGAGGCCUGGAAUGGUUCCACGCUCAAAUGGACGGCAGUCACGUUUGUCGUCUGCCCGAGGAUGGGGCUGCGGCCGAUCAGGCAGUUGGCGAGGUAAUAGCUCACCAAACCUUUGACCGGUACGGGCCAUGAAAGUGGUAGCCCGGAGAUGGGCACUGAGACAGGGGCCCAGGCCCUACGGGGCGCAGCAGGCGCGAAAACUCCACAAUGUACGAAAGUACGAUGGGGUUAUCUCGAGUGCAGUCCGAUAAGGGUUGCUUUUCCAUAGAGUAAUAUCCUGUGGGAAUAAGAGGGGGGCAAGACUGGUGUCAGCCGCCGCGGUAACACCAGCCCCUCGAGUGGUGGGGACUUUUAUUUGGCCUAAAGCGUCCGUAGCUGGCUGUAUCCGUUUCCCGGUAAAUCCGGCGUCCUAAGCGUCGGGCUUCGGGUAAUACCAUACAGCUAGAGGGUGGGAUAGGUGAGCGGUAUUUCUGGGGUAGGGGCGAAAUCCUUUGAUCCCAGGAGGACCACCAGUGGCGAAGGCUGCUCACUAGAACACGCCUGACGGUCAGGGACGAAAGCUGGGGCAGCGAACCGGAUUAGAUACCCGGGUAGUCCCAGCUGUAAACGAUGCUAGCUAGGUGUUGGGUCGGCCACGCGCCGCCCCAGUGCCGCAGGGAAGCCGUUAAGCUAGCCGCCUGGGGAGUACGGCCGCAAGGCUGAAACUUAAAGGAAUUGGCGGGGGAGCACCACCAGGCGUGAAGCCUGCGGUUUAAUUGGAGUCAACGCCGGG
rnacentral:rRNA from 1 species